GAUGAACGCUAGCGGGAGGCCUAACACAUGCAAGCCGAGCGGUAGAGUUUCUUCGGAAACUUGAGAGCGGCGCACGGGUGCGUAACACGUGUGCAACCUACCUUUAUCUGGGGGAUAGCCUUUCGAAAGGAAGAUUAAUACCCCAUAAUAUAAUGAUUGGCAUCAAUUAUUAUUGAAAACUCCGGUGGAUAGAGAUGGGCACGCGCAAGAUUAGAUAGUUGGUGAGGUAACGGCUCACCAAGUCAAUGAUCUUUAGGGGUCCUGACAGGGAGAUCCCCCAGACUGGUACUGAGACACGGACCAGACUCCUACGGGAGGCAGCAGUGAGGAAUAUUGGACAAUGGGUGAGAGCCUGAUCCAGCCAUCCCGCGUGAAGGAUGACGGUCCUAUGGAUUGUAAACUUCUUUUGUACAGGGAUAAACCUACCCUCGUGAGGGUAGCUGAAGGUACUGUACGAAUAAGCACCGGCUAACUCCGUG
rnacentral:rRNA from 1 species